GCUCCAGCAGAGAUCUGGAGAAAGGACAGAAAUCCAGAAAAGCAAAAAAAAAAAAGAAGUUUAAUCCUCCUUAACAGCUCAUUUAAAAUGUUUAUUCAGUUUAAAUGAGCCAGUGAGCCAACAUAUGAAACAAAUAAAAGCAAAAUAAUGUAUGAAAGUUUAAAUAAAGUUGACAUUUUGAGGCUCUCAUGGUUGAAGAAUCCCACAUUGGCUGACACUUUGUCGUCCUCGAUCGUGUCAAUAAAGUUUUUUCAAAGGUGUUUGGCACGUGACAAGAGACGGACGCACCUGUUGAAGGAGGUUGCCGUGGAAACAUGGUGGAUAACCCGAACUUGUCUUCACGGCGCGUGAUGGAAGCUCGUUAAGGGGAAAUUAACGACACCGGCUGCUCCCGCGUCUUCCUCUUCCGUUGUUGAAGGGCUGACUUUGUGGAAGAGCAAAAGAACAUCGAGGACUUCGGCUGGACCCUCAGACACACACACUCAGAAGUGGUCUGACUUUUCCUCAAAGAGGAGCACCGACGGCAGUCGCCAGCUCGUCACGUGACCGCAGCGAUUUCCUUCGGCACUCAAAGGAAAUGAUCUCUGUCAGUCUGUCCGCCGCUCAUCCAGCCUCCCUCCCUUCUCUCUCUCCCUCUGAGCGCAUUCGCCCUGCGUCCUGCCUGGUGGUGUUUUUCACUCUUCUUCUUUCUUCCUUUCUCUCCUCUGUCUGUCUUCUGAGAGCAGAGCGGAGCCGAGCAUGAAAGUGACUUCCUCCAUCAUCUCUGCAGCCCGCGGCGUUCUGUUCAAUCCCUCCACCGCCACGAUGGACUUCGGGGUCACGACUCGCUUCCUCCUGGAAACUCGCCUUUACUGAGAGGCGUCUUAAGAUGUGUGAUCCCGCCUGACUCGAGCUGGGACGUGUUUCCAUUUGCCGGGAGAUGCUGCGCAGUCCGCAGGGCGAAGCAGGAUUCGCUCCUCGUCCCGGAGGUCCACCUGAAAGCAUCGGGGAGAGAUUCAGCCAAGGUCACAUGAUGACGCGUGAGCAAAGUCCAGUUCGUGAUGAAGGCCGUGAGAUUCGACGGAAAGCUCCAGAAAGAGCCAGUGUUGCUUCAGCAGAGAUGAAGUGAAGAAGGUGAGAGCAGGCAGGGAAAAGGAUGUUCUCAUAUGUGGCGUCGGCCUUCGGACUCCGGACCGUGAAGCGUCCGAAAGCUCCAGGAAAAGCUCGACAGAGAACAACUGGAGGGACUAACACAGACCUUCUCCUCAUGAUUUCAUUCAGCAGAUUGGACGUGACGACUCGGCGUCGGGCUCGGCGUCCGAUUGGCUGCUUCGCGUGUGACGCUGCGAGCUGGCUCAAGGUUUUGAGAGAUCCAAACACACACAUCUGAACUGUGGCUGUGAGUGGAACUGAACGCAACAUGAAAUGUCGUACUGGUCUGCCUGACAGCCUGGAUCGGCUUCGGCUUGUAAAUCCCACUUGAGUGUGUCCGCAUGUGACUGCCUCCGCUGGGUCCCGACGGGAGGGGAGGGGGGGCUCCGGGUGGACCCGCCCACCUCGGACCAGUUCCAGCCAAUCAGGUGCUAAUGUGCGGGAACAGGAGAGGGCUGCGCUGACAGAUGGCGGGCUGACCUGGAAAACCUGCCCCCUUUUCAGGGUUCAGCAGUCGGCAGAUGACAGGAUGGCAAAAGACACGACCCGCCCUUCUCUGCCUCUGAUUGGCUGCUACUCGGCAACAGCAGGAAGGAUGAAGGCUAACGCUAAUAUAUAACAGUGUUUUGGCAGGCGCCGUGCCGGUCCAGAUUGUAACCCCUAUUUCUGCCUCCAAAAACCUGCCUUGGAGGAGCGUCCACGGAGGGAUUAGGGAUUUAGUGGGGAAGAGAGGAUGCCUUGGUGGGAUUUGGUCUCCGAGACAGAAGGUGGCAGCAGUGCAACCCUGAGCUUUGGCUGAGCAGAAGAAGAAGAAGAAACAGGAAGUGGGAGGCAGCAGCUUGGCUGGCAGCAAGUGUCCACCCAAAAUGUUUGAAUGAAAAUGUUUUUCCACUGCACAACAAAAUCAAGGUGGAACACGAGGCAAGUGAGCAGCACCUGUUGACUCCACCCAGUCUCUGCUGG